GACAGAGGGUGCAAACGUUGCUCGGAAUCACUGGGCGUAAAGGGCGUGUAGGCGGGAAGGAAAGUCAGAUGUGAAAGCCCUGGGCUCAACCCAGGAACUGCAUUUGAAACUCCCUUUCUUGAGUGUCGGAGAGGAAAGCGGAAUUCCUGGUGUAGAGGUGAAAUUCGUAGAUAUCAGGAGGAACACCGGUGGCGAAGGCGGCUUUCUGGACGACAACUGACGCUGAGGCGCGAUAGCGUGGGGAGCAAACAGG
rnacentral:rRNA from 1 species